CUCUCUCUCUCUCUCUCCUCUUUUCCAUUUACUCAUAUAGCAUUUUUUAGCGGAGAACUUCAUUAACCAGACUGAAGUAUGCAUAACGUCCUUACAAAUAAAACUAGCAAUAGAUGAAGGCACCUCCUCCUUGAGAAAAACAGAAUCAAGAAUAUAAAGGUCCCACAUUGAGUUAGAUGAUAAGCAACUCCGUUGCACUCCCGAUUUGCAAAUCUGAAGACGCUAAAGUAAUGGCAAAGGAUUAAACCCGUAGAACUAAGCAAAAAACAAAAAAAAAAGUGGGGCCAAGUUAUCAGAGUAGGUUAUAUUUCGGAAUCCGAAAAAGUCAUAAUGGGUAGUGCUGCAAUAAGUCAGAACAAGGUGAAUUAAUGACCUAGUAAAAAAAACUCCAUAAUGCCAAGUAAAAAAAAAGGAGGCUUGAGUUAGACCAGGAUGAUCCAUGACCUCGUAAAGACAACUAGACAUGUAGAGCCAAGUACAAAGAAAAAAAAAAGUUAGGUUGGUAUAAGUGACUACUAGACUUAUAAACUUAAGUCUAGUUCAAUUGCACAUGAUAAGAGAGUCUUGAAUGUCCCACAAGAGAAACGAAUAAGGAAGAAAAAGAGAAUAUACAACAUGGCAGACAUUGCCUUUGCUGAUAGUCAUCCACACUAUUUGGAUUAGAGAAUUUCACGGUAAUGUUUCAACCAUUUCAGGGGUAAAUUGCCUGUCAAUGUGACGACCUACAGAAGUAAUAACUAACCCCUCACAGUCUCGAUUUAAUCACCAGACCAAUUCCAACAAAACCAUUAGAUUCCCUACAAGUUGCAUCAGUAAUAAUCUUGUACAAGCCGUCCUUUUGUGGUUGCCAUGUCGCAUGAACUGAAGCAUGAUUAGAAGAGUUUUUUGGAUUAGCAGCAGCAGCGAUUCUCAAUGUUCUUGUCAUUUAUUAACUUUUAGCAGCAAAAUUGACUUUACUGCUAAUUCUAUUAUUUCUUAUAGUGAUAACAA
rnacentral:misc_RNA from 1 species